GUAUAAAUGAUACAUACAGGUAUUCCGAUAUAUCCAUCGGGAUAAAAAGGGAAUCCCAACUCCCAUUUUAAACGACUCCAUAAAUUGAUCAUUUUUUAUCUGUGUAAUCUGCGUCAUCUGUGGUUUCAAAUGGGAGAAAAGGGAACGGUACCGCCGCUGUAUUCGGUGACGAAUGUUGCAAGAGCCACUGGAAAGCCGUUUAAACUGAUUAAACGGUUUUCCGGGAAGGCGCAGCAAGUAGGAUGAUCCGCUAAGUCAGAAGACCUGCCUGUCAUGUUUUGCUGAG
rnacentral:ncRNA from 2 species